rnacentral:lncRNA from 1 species
UACACUCUUAUUCUUUCCUUACUACAUAUAAUUGAAACCUUCUUAUCUACCAUAGACAUGGUGAUCACUUCUCCUUUGCAAUCUCACCUGUCAAGUACUUUGACCAACUCAUCAAUGUAGCUCUGAUGCAGGUUUUGGUCACCAAAGAUCAUGGCUGCUUCUCUUGCACGAAUCCGCAGUUUCUCGCCUUCCUCCAUCACCAUGGCUAGUCUCAAAGACUUGGCAUGUUAUCCCUGCUAAAUGAUCCAUCGUCGCCUCUCGCUAUUUCCCCGGCCAUACCUUUCUCCACAAGCAGCCUUGCAUUCAGCCCUUGAUCAAUGACAAAAGGCAAUACAAUAGGACAGUGCCCAAAUUGCAGGGUUUCAAUAACUGAACCCCACCCAGAAUGAAGCAAGGAACCCCCAAUUGAUGGACGUGCCAGAAUCUCCAUCUGGGGUGCCCAUCCCAUAUACACUACCCCUCUGCCGGAGGUCCGGUCACUGAAACCGGAAGGUAGGGCUUCGGCAUCUUCGAUAGCCCAGUUGGGUUUUCUGAGCGCCCACAGAAAUGGCAAUUCGGAUAGCUCUAGUCCGAAUGCUAUCUCAUGAACUUGAUCUUGGCUCAAGAAAUAUAAAGGUGAAUGAAAUAUUUGAUGAAAUUUUAAACUUAUGAAAACUAGAUGUAUUUAGUCAAAAACUGGUAGAGGUAAUGAAAUUAGUUCUUACAACACUAAUAUUUUAUUUAUUAGUAAUUUUUGAAAAUUUACAAGCAAGUACUUUAGAAAUGCUUUGCUUAUAAAAAACACUAAGUACAAAGCCUUUAAAAGCAUUAUUUGGAAAUUUCCUAGAAGAUCUAAUUUAAAUAAAACAUUUUCCAUCAUAAAUAAGCCUUAAUGAAUCUCUAUAUAUACUUUUUUUUUUUCAAGAACUCUUAAUGGCGGUUUUAUUUAAUUACUAAUUAGUAUAUUCUUAAUUUUUAUACAAUGGUGAAUAUUAUUUGAAUAAUUAAUAUUUAUGCUAUAAUAUAUUCAUAUUAUUAUAUAUAAAUAAUAAUAAAAAUAAUUAAAGAUGCCCAAAAUUAAGUAAUUAAAUAUAAGUUUAUUUAAAUUUAAUGUUUUUGUUAUAUAAUAUAAGAAUAAGUAGUUUGUUAAAUAAAGAAAAGUUAAAUGUCUCCAAUCCCACCCUAUAAAAGUGAAAUCAUCCCAAGAGACUAAUCAAAAUCAUGCACGUGGGAGUUUUAUUUUUAAGAGAAAGAAUUUUUAUUUAUAUUGUUUUUAAAAAUAAUAACAUAAUAAUAAAUUUAAAAAAUUAAAAGCACUUGAAUUCAACUUCAACCUAAAAUAUUUCUUUGAAUUACUUAAAAUUGGGCACACGAGUUUGUCUUAAUGUUUUUUUUCAUCCUUGUUCAUGACACCCAAAUAUUGGAAAAUCUUUUAUUCUAUUUUGGUAACGGUUUUUAAAAUCAAUUUUAAAAACCAAUUUUUAAAAAUAGUUUUUAAAAACUAUUAUAUGUUUUUUAUGAAAUAAAAGUACAUUAGAUAAUUUAAAAUGUUUUAAACUUAUUUUUAAAUAUAAUUUUUAUAUUUAAUACUUUAUUUUUAAUCAUUUUAUAUAUUUGUAUAACUAUUUUUUUUAAUAAUAUUUUAAAACUAAGUGAAAAUGACUAAAAUAUGUUAUUUGAAAACACUAUAUUUUUUUGUUAUUAAAAAUGUUUUUUGUAUUUUUUUAUUUUGAAGAACAAAAAAUUAUUUUUGAAAAUAAUUAUCAAACAGAUUAUUUGUUUUUUAAUUUUAGUUUUUUCUUCUUCCUUUUUAUUAUUUUUCAAGAAUCAAAGGCAACCUUUAAAACUUAUCCUUAACGUUAAGCUUUACACGUGAGUCGUUCUAUGAAACUUUCAUAAACUAUAUGAAAAAAAUAAAUUGAGACGUAUUUAUGGUAAAGAGAAAAGAAUAUCUCUUUCAAUUUUGUAUAAAAACAUGUGAAACUUUUUUUUUCCAAUACCCAGUACUUACAAAACCAAAAAAGUUCAUUUAGGCUAUUGAUUUGACAUUCUGUUUGUUACACGCAAGGUUUGAAAUAUCAGUAAUUAGAUUUUACGGAUAUAUAAAAAAUAUUGAAAAAAUAUUUGUUGAUAUAGAAUGAAUCCCAAUGCAAAAAAAGAAAAAAAAGAAGGAAAAGAUAAAAGAAAGAAAGAAAGAAAAAACUACUAUAAAUAGAUUUUAAAUCAUGCAAUUCAAUCAACUUAAUUAACUCAAGUCAAACUCGAUUAAAAUGAGUCUAAUUCGAUUAACUUGAAUUCAACUUUAGCAUAAAAAAAAAUGAGGUUAGGUUAAACUUGAAUUAAAUACCUCGAGUUAGAGGUCAAGAUGAGUUGAGUUUGAAUUGAUUAUUUUUUAAUUCAAAUAAUGCUUAAAUCCCACCAACACGCCCAAGUUAUAAUCCUACUACUACCAAAUUUUACCAUGGGUUUUUUAUAUUAGAAAAAAGAUGGUACUUCAUAUUUGUGUCAAAAUUAUUUUUUAAAAAGAUAAUUUUGUCCUAUAACUAAUAAAGUGAAAAUCAUUUUUUUUGAAAAAAAAAAUAGUUUUAAUAAAAAAUUAUUGAUUGUGUUCAUACUAAAAUCAUAUUUUGAGAAGAUAUUUUGAAAAGUUUUUUUAAUAUUCUUUUAAAAAUGGUAUAUUUUUAUAAAUAUUUCAUAAAAUAUUAUUUUUUUAAUAAAAAAAUUGUUUAAAUUAUAAAUCCUAUAAAAGGUACUUUUACCGUACAUUUUCUUUUUCAUGAAUUUGAAAAAACUAAUUUUAUCUUUGAAACAAAAACAUUUCAUGAGGUAAUACAUACAAACCAAACCAACAAUAGUGGUCGAGUUUUACAGCAUAAAAUCCAAGUGUACAAUGAUUCUCAUACAUAGAGGAUUUCCAUGUAAAAUGGGAGGUUACUAAGCUACUACAGAUGCAAACAAAGACAUAAACACUUCUGUCUUUCCAUUAUGCUCAAAGCUGUCAUGAAGCUAUUAACAUUAUUGCACAAACUCAUUGGAAAUGAUUUUAAUUAUUGAAAAUUAUUUUUUUAAAUAAAAAAACCAAAAAAUUAAGUUUUAAUUCUAAGUAAAUCAAAAUUUGAUUUUCUAGUUUUAAUUAUAAAAAUAGAAAUAGUUUUUUAUGGAAAAAUGAUAACAUAAACUUUUAAUUGACAAAGUAUUGUAACAACAUAUCUAUAAUUUUUUUUUUCUUAUAUAAAAUCCUCAACAAAGGAAAAAAUGAUUGUGAUUGCUUUAAUAGCUAUAUCGACAACAAAUAAUGAUUGAUCAAUAAUUCUGCACUAAGACUAAUAAGUAUUUCCAAACCAUCCACUCUGAAACAACUAUGAAUGGUAAUGAAGCUCAAAAGAACCAAAAUUAUAGUUCAUGCUAUUGUUUUAUUAUCAAUAUUUGAUUUUAUAUAAAUAAUUAAAUAAAUCAAAGUUUUAAAAUGAUUGUGAUUUGCUUUAAUAGCUAUGUGGAUAAUAAAUAAUGACCAAUCAACAAUUUUGCACUAGGACCAGUAAGUAUUUCCAAACCAUCCACUCUUAAACAACUAUGAUUGGUAAUGAAGCUCAAAAGAACCAAAAUUCUAGUUUAUGCUAGUUGUUUUAUUAUCGAUAUUUGAUUUUAUAUAAAUAAUUAAAUAAAUCAAAGUUUUCAAGAACUUCAAACCCAAUCAUCAAAUCUUGUCAAAUUGAACUAUGAAUUGAUUCAAAGAAAACGAUUUGCUUAAAUUGAGAACUUAUUGAAAUUAAAAAAAAAAAAGUAAAAAAAGUACAUGCUUGGCAUUAUGGAAAGAAAAUUUUCACUUUUAUUUUCUAUGUAACCAAACAGAGAACGAGAGAGAGAGAGAGAGAGCGUACCUCGGGUUCUGGGUUUUCAGAGAGUCAGGUCGGAGCCGUCGUUGGUGCAUCAUAUCGUUAUCUUGUUUGUUUGUCAGGGUAAGAAUGAGACUAAAAUCAGAGCUUUUCUUCAAAUUUUCCUUUUCUGUUUAAUUUUUUUGGCCUUAACCCGAGGUUUUCAGAGAGUCAAGUCGAAGCCGUUGUUGGUGCACCAGAUUGUUAUCUCAUUUAUUUGUUAGGGUAAGAAUGAGACUAAAAUAAGGGUUUUUCUUCAUAUUUUUUUUUUUCUGUUGAAAUUUUUUGACCCUUUUUAGAUUUCUGAUGUGGACGCUGAGUUGAUACAAGGGGAAGGCAUUUUCCGUAUGAAAUAACACCUCACACCAAAGUGCAUGAGAUGGAAAAAAAUUUCAAAUUUCAAAUUUCAAAUUGCAGACAUAUCUUGGGUUAUGCAAACUUUGGGUUUUGAAAACAAUAUUAUCUCUAAGUAGCCCUCUCAAAAGUCAAAACACAAGUUUGCCUUAUUUUUAAAUCUUGAGCAUGUGCCCGCCAAGCUCCCAAGUCCCAAGGAGGCUUAAAUAUAACUUUAAAAAAUAUUAGAUGGGGACAUUAACGGUAUAGGAAAGAUAAAUGAACAACUGUCAUAUUUUUAAAACAUAGUUUUCUUCUUCAUUUUCACAUAACUACGCCAUUCCAUUUUAGACAUAAGAGUGCCUAUCUCCACAGCUCCAGUGACUUGGCCGGCGAAAAUGGCGGAUCUUCACGUAGUAAUGGUUCCAUGGUUGGCAUUCGGUCAUAUGAUUCCAUUUCUUCAGCUCUCUAUAGCAUUAGCCAAAGCUGGAGUGCGUGUCUCCUUUGUAUCAACUCCGAGGAACAUCCGCAGACUCCCAAAACUUCCUCCAGAUUUAGAGCCUCUGAUAAGCUUCGUGGAGCUUCCAUUACCGGCGGUGGACGGCGGUCUCUUGCCGGAAGAUGCAGAGGCCACUGUGGACGUUCCCACUGAGAAAAUUCAGUACUUGAAGCUUGCUUAUGAUCUCCUGCAACACCCCUUUAAGAAGUUCGUUGCAGAUCAAUCUCCGGAUUGGAUUAUUAGCGAUACUAUGGCUCAUUGGGUGGUCGAGACUGCAGAAGAGCAUCGGAUUCCUUCAAUGGCCUUCAUUUUGUUCUCCUCUGCCGCAGCUGUUUUCGUUGGGCCUAAUGAAUGUCUAAUCGGUGAAGGUAGAAGGAGGGUUCGGCCGUCGCCUGAGAGCCUGACAUCAUCACCAGAGUGGGUCAGUUUUCCAUCUUCGGUAGCUUUCCGGGGAUAUGAAGCUAGAACUUGCUACGCAGGAUUCUUCGGAGAGAAUGUUUCUGGGAUAACUGAUGCCCAUAGGGUUGCUAAGGUAUGCCAUGCAUGUAAAGCUGUGGCUGUACGCAGCUGCAUUGAAUUUGAAGGUGAGUACCUGAAUAUACAUGAGAAAAUCAUGGGGAAGCCGGUGAUUCCAGUGGGUUUCCUUCCACCGGAAAAACAAGGAGGAAGAGAAACCACUGAAGGAUCAUGGAGUGAGAUCUUCAAAUGGCUUGAUGAACAAAAACCCAAGUCGGUUGUGUUUGUAGGGUUUGGGAGUGAGUGUAAGUUAACCAAAGAUCAAGUCCAUGAGAUAGCUUACGGGCUAGAGCUAUCCGAAUUGCCAUUUCUGUGGGCACUUAGAAAACCCAACUGGACUAUGGAAGACAUUGAUGCUCUACCUUCUUGUUUCAGUGACCGGACCUCCGGCAAAGGGAUAGUAUGGAUGGGGUGGGCACCACAGAUGGAAAUUCUGGCGCACCCAUCAAUUGGGGGUUCACUGUUUCACUCAGGGUGGGGUUCAGUUAUAGAGACUCUUCAAUUUGGGCAUUGCCUUGUUUUAUUACCAUUUAUAGUUGAUCAGGGGUUGAAUGCCAGACUGCUUGUGGAGAAGGGUUUGGCCGUGGAAAUAGAGAGAAGCGAGGAUGGAUCCUUUAGUAGGGAGGAUAUAGCAAAGUCUCUGAGGGUAGCCAUGGUGUCGGAGGAAGGCGAGAAGCUGAGGGCUCGUGCAAGAGAGGCCGCUGCAAUCUUCAUUGACAAGAGGCUGCAACAGGAGCACUAUAUUGGUGGAUUGGUCAAGUAUCUGAAAGCUGAAGUUUCCGAAAAAUGAUCAUCUCAUAUGUUGUCUGACAAGAAUUGUGGUAUUAUGCUUUAUAAAACAAAAUGUUGGUUUAUGACACAAUUAAGAGUUUGGUAUUAAUUAAGUUAUAUGUGAGGAGUCCUUCGUCCGUUGGGAUUAUUAAUUAGUUUUGUUAUGGCUUAGGGACUUAUUUAGGUCCUAUAAAUAAGUCUUAAGUUCUUUAGUUAAGAGUGUGUGAGAAUGACUUUAGCCAAAGUUGUGGUUUUAGUCUGACUUUAUAGUUUUAGCCCAUCUUUGUGGCUUUAACCAAUUUGUGUAGAAAUAGUUUUCCCAAUUUGAUUUCUUAAUUUUGAUUUGAAGAUUAAUGGAUUGAUCAUCAUGAGGACUUUGGUAAGGCAUCCUUACCAAACCUCACAAAUAUUGUGUCCUCUCUUUUAUCUUUAUUUCUCUUGCUAUUUCUUUUCAUAUUAUAAGCUAAUUGAGUUUGUAUUUUAUUGGUUUUCGUCUUAUGAGAUUAGACUUAGGUACAAUAAAUUAGUAUAAGAGCUUUCAUGGGCACAACACAAAAAUAAAAAAUUCAAAUGUUUAUAAUCUGAUUUUUAUAUUUUAAAAUAUAUUUUUAUCUAUAAAAUUUUAUUUUUAAUCUUUGUAUUUGUAUAAUUAUUUUUUAAACUAAUAAUAAAAAAAAGUAAAAAUAAAAAUAAAAAUAUUUUGAUUUAUAUUUUUAAGGGUAAUAAAUUAUUUUCUAUUUUUUUGUUGUGAAAUUAUUUUUUUAGUUAAAAAACAGAAAAUUGUUUUAAAAACCAAUUUUAUCGUUAAAUAACAGAAGUUUGUGUUUAGUAGGUGGCAUAGGCAAUCAUGCAAUCAAAACCACGGAGAGUGUAGGUUUUCAUUUUCAUGACAAAGAUUUUUUUUUUGUUUUAUUUAUAUUAUUAUUAUUUAUAACAUGAUAAUGAAUAAAAAUGAAAUUAAAAAAACUUUCAUUAAGACUUAAAAGCACUUGAAUUCAACAUCAUCUUCCUAAAAAUAUUCCUUUGAAUUACUUGUCCCAUCCACCAUUCAAACAAUAGUUAGCAGUGAAGCUGCCAAUCAAUGCGAUGGCAGUGAUAUUCCCACUGUCCACGUUAUUCAUCAAUUCAGUCCUUCUGAUGAUGAUGGGUGUGGGGUGGGGUGGGGGCAGAGUACUCAGUGGUUUUGGUGGCGAUGGCUGUGAUGUUCCACUGUCCACGUAUUUCAGUCCUUUUUGAUAGUGAGUGGGCUAUGAGCGUUUUAGGGACUGUUGAAUCGUUUGAACUUAAUAGAGUUGUAUUAUAAUCGAUUCGUUCUUAAUCGUACGAAUAUUAUUUGCUUUGAGUUUAAAGGAAAUUAAUGAUUUUUAAAAUAUAUUUAUAUAAUUAGGAGAAGUCAAUAUUAAGAAUUUUUUUUUUCAUAUUCGAUGUGUUAUAUAUCAUAAUUACUUUUUCAUAUAAACCCAACAUCUUUAUUGUAUUUUAUGAAACUACAAAGUUAAAUAGACAAAUAUCCUUCACAAGGUCAAACAAAUUCUCAUUAUCGAAUCAAUGAUCAACUUUAAUACAAUUUGUAAUGAUUUAUUUUAAAUCAUGUAAAGUAUUCUCCACUCUAGGCUCAGAGGACUUUCAUAACUUUAUAAUGCAUCUAUAAAAUUGAGGAGUUCUUUUAUUCAAUGUGAGAUAUUACAAUGAUUCUCAUAUGAUACAACAUCCUCAUUAUGUCCCAUAGAAUUGGGAAACCAAAUGAAUAAACAUUCAUCAUGGGGUUGGAUAAACAAAAGCCUACCUCGAGGCUAGGAAUUACCUCUAAUACUAUUUAUAAUGACAUGUUUCUAACUGUAUAGAUAAUGUCCGCUCAAAACCUAAGAGACAUUUACAACCUUAAAAUGCAUAUACAUGGUUAAAAAAGGUUAAUACAUAUAUAACGUUAAAUUUUUUUUCUCCUAUCCAAUGUAAAAUAUCACAGUAAUGGUUUGACAAUGAAUUCUUUCAGCACCAUUGAAGACAUUUCUUCGAUAAUUUAUAUCUACCUUUCCAAAUUAUUUGUUUAAAACUUAUGUUGGUUUCUAUUUUAAAGAAUGUUAAAACAAUCUUAUAUAUAUAAGUUGAAUUAUAGUUAUAAGUUUAUUAUAGCUAUUAAAAACUCAUGAUACACUAUAUGAUAUAAGGAUAUAUUAUUUUAGGGAAACUAAGACACACACACGUGGUAUGUGAUACAAUACAAGAUAUGAUAAUGCAAGGAUACAUACCAUUUUUUGUUUUUUUAAGAAAAAUCAAUUUUUUUUUUAAUAUCAUAUUGUUUUUUUAAAAGAUAUGCUGAAGAUUAGAAAUUCCUUGCAAUAGGAAAAAAAUAGUAAAACAAUCCUAUAUAAAAAGUUACAUAUUAAAAUCACUUAGAAAAUGUUAAAAAUUAAAUAAAUUUAUUGUUACAAUAAAUGUGAGGAAGUUGUUAAUUAUUUGAAUGUUAAUAUUGAAAAUCAUGGUGAUAGGUGAGUAAAAGCUUUUAUUUAAUAUAUUAAUUUUUUUUGUCAUGUAGCAUUUAGCAAUGAAGGGAAAAAAUACACACACCAUACCUUAUGGGAAUUAAUAACUAUGGGUCUUAAGUGGUAUUCCCAUUUGAUUAGUUCUUUCAAAAAACACUUCUAACAUAAAAAAUAAAAAAACAAAAAAAAUAAAAAACGUUUUAAAACAAAAAUAAGACGAUAAAAUUCAGAAAUUAUGUUUAAAAAGUUGAAGAAUUAUUUGUAAUUCUUCUUUUAAAAAAUAAAAUAAAAUAAAAUACUUGAUAGAUAAUUUUUGAACAUUUUUAGAGAAAUACACCCUUAUUCUUUCCUUCCCAGAUAUAAUAGAAACCUUCUUAUCUACCAUAGACAUGGUGAUCACUUCUCCUUUGCAAUCCCACCUUUCAAAUACUUGACCAACUCAUCAAUGUAGCUCUGAUGCAGCUUUUGGUCACCAAAGAUCAUGGCUACUUCUCUUGCGCGAAUCCGCAGUUUCUCGCCUUCCUCCAUCACCAUGGCUAGUCUCAAAGACUUGGCUAUGUCAUCCCUGCUAAAUGAUCCAUCGUCGCCUCUCUCUAUUUCCACGGCCAUACCUUUCUCCACAAGCAGCCUUGCAUUCAGCCCUUGAUCAAUUACGAAAGGCAAUACAAUAGGACAGUGCCCAAAUUGCAUGGUUUCAAUCGCUGAACCCCACCCAGAAUGAAACAAGGACCCCCCAAUCGAUGGAUGUGCCAGAAUCUCCAUCUGGGGUGCCCAUUCCAUACACACCACCCCUCUGCCGGAGGUACGGUCACUGUAACCAGAAGGUAGGGCAUCGACAUCUUCAAUAGCCCAAUUGGGUUUUCUGAGUGCCCAAAGAAAUGUCAAUUCGGAUAGCUCUAGUCCAUAAGCUAUCUCGUGAACUUGAUCUUGGCUCAACUUACACUCACUCCCAAACCCUACAAACACAACCGACUUUGGCUUCUGUUCAUCUAGCCACUUAAAGAUCUUCCUCCAUGCUUGAUUUGUGAUUUCAUGGCUUCCUUCUCGUGGAAGCAGACCGACCGGAAUCACUGGCUUUCUUAGCAUUUUUUGGUAGAUACUCAGAUACUCACCUUCAAACUCCCUGCAGCUGCGGAUGGCCACUGCGUCACAUGCACUUAGUGUCGUGGCGAUCCGAUCGGCAUCAGUGGUCCCCGAGGAAUUGUCUCCAUAGAAACCAGGGUGGGCACCUCUCGCCUCAAAUUCCCGGUAGGCCACCAGGGAUGGAAAAGUGACCCACUCUGGCGGUGUUGUCAUACUUUCCGGUGAAGGUCGAACCCUCCUCUGACCAUCACCGGUUAGGUACUCUGGAGGCCCAAAGAAAACAUUUGAGGCAGAAGUAAACAUAGUGAAAGCCAGGAGGGGGACAGCACACUCUCUAGCAGCCUCCGCCGCCCAAUCCACCGGCAGAUCAACGAUCAUCCAAUCCGGAGAUGCACCCUCCAGAAAGCGCUUCAAGGGUUGUUUUAAUAAAGCAUAGGCAAUCUUCAAAUACUUGAUUUUCUCAAAGGGAAGUUCGACGGUGGCCUCACAGCCUUCCGGCAAGCCCAAAACCGCCGGUAAUGGCAGCGCCACCAAGUUGAUUAGCGGUAGUAGAGUUGGUGAAAGCUUAGGGAGCCUCUGGAUGUUCCUUGGAGUUGAUAUGAAUGAGACAUGGAUUCCAGCUUCAGCCAAGGCAAUGGCUAGCUGAAGAUGUGGGAUCAUGUGGCCAAACGCCAACCAUGGAACCAUCACUACAUGCAUAUUACCAGCCAUAACGUGAAGAAGAUGCGGUUCAAAGAUUUGAAGAAAAACUUUGUGAAAACCCCAACUUUAGAUUUGAAGAAGAUGAACUUCUCAUGCUAGAAUCCAGGUUAUAAAUAGUAACACUUGCUACUCUGUAACAACCAAUGUUGAUGAUGGCAAUUUGGGAGACAAGCUCACUGCUCACACGACGCCAUCUUCUGGACACAUCAUUUAUGGCUCUUAAUCAUCCAUCACCAACAAUGGAGACCCACAUAUUCAAAAAGUCGUUGGCAAGCGCAUCAGCAUAAAGUCUCUUUGAUAAUCGGCUCUCGCGAAGAGUACGGAAUCUUUUAAAAAAGACCAUGAUUAUAAUGUCACCUUUACAAUUACGUUUCAUUUAUUCGUACUCAGACCUGUAUUGUUAUUUUGUAGUUUAGUUUUAUUCUUUUAUAGUUUGUCCACUAUUUACGGUCUGAUUGUUUUAUAAUUUGAUGAUAUAUAUAUAUAUUGAUCAGGGCCUAGAUUUAAUCAUGUACUUUCGAGUUGAGAUUAGCAUUUUCCCCUUCAUAAUCACCGGUAAUAAAAUCAAAUUGGGAUUGUAUUAAAAAAAGUCAUACGAAUUAUAAUGUCACAUUUACAAUUAUGUUUCGUUAGUUUUUUUUUACCAAACUCGUUCUAUUAUUUUGUACUUUAGUUUCAUUAUUUGACUAUUUAUUCACUAUUUUAUAUUGCCUCAUUUUUUAUACUUUGAUAUCAUUAUUUAAAUCCUAAUUCGAUUUGGAUUUCAUGAUGCAUUUUUAAUGAUCAAGAUUAUAAGUUUGUUAGGUACCAAUUGAUUAUUUCAGCAUUUUCCUUUUCAUGAUCAGUGAUGGAUUAAGAAAAAUCAAAAUCUUAUAACAUUAAUACUUUGUUUAAUAGUAAUAUUGGAAAAUUUACAAGUGUAUAAACCCUAAAAUCUAUUUCAAUUUUAUUUUUAUAUUAAUUUUGAACCAAAUUUUAUUAAUAAAUUUUAAAUCCCGAUUAUAUGUGUUUUUUGAUAUACUCAUAAUUUAAUUCUUAGUUUUUAUUAUUUUGUAAAUUAUUUUAUUUUUUAUUUUUAUUUAUUAUUAUUAUUAUUAUAUUAUAUUAUAUUUUUAUCUUUUUUUAUUUUUAUUUUUUAUUUUCUCUCCCCUCUCUAUUUUUUCUUCCUCCACCUACCCUCUACCUACCUUCACCUACCCCCGUACCCUCACAUCACCACACUCCCCCACUCUCUUCCUUUUUUUCUUUUUUCCAUGGCCCUUUCUAUUUUCCACUCCCCCCAUUUCUUUAUUUCUAGGCGGCCGACCCGUUUUUUUGGGGAGAGGAUCAUUCUUCUUCCCCUUCUCUUCCCUCACCGACACCAUACCCACGACUCCCAUUCUUUCCAUUCAUCAUCGUCAUCAUUCCUCUCACCGUCGGCCGCUAAUCUGACCACAUUCCACCCCCGACGUCCUUCCGUCUCUUUCUCUCUCUCGUUUUCCCUUUCUUCAUUCCUUUGGUUAUUACGGCCUCCACCUACUAGAUCUUGCUGUCAACGAUGCAAGCAUUGUCGACCUCCACCUCCCGAUGCUUCGAUCAUCACCACCACCCCUUCUAUCGUGUAUUGUUGCAUUCUGUCUCCAAUUAUAGGGUUUCAAAUGUGAGGUUUUAUUUAUUUAUUUAUUUCCUCUUUGAUUUCUACAGUAAUUAUUUUCAAUAUUGGGUUUGGCUUUUGGGCUUUGAAUAUGUGUUUUGGGCCUUCUUUUGACUGGAUUGUUGAUUUGAAUGGGUUAUUUUGAGAUGUUAUAUAUAGAUAUCAGUUCGGGUUGGUUUUUGGGUAUGGCCUAAUUGUGGAAUUGAUUUGGAUUCCAUGUUGUUGGGUUGCAGUGAUUGCUUGGGUUUCUGGGUUAGCUCUUUUGGUCCACGUGUUUUUUACUUGGCUCUUGGCUUAUAAGCUCAAGGUUGGUUUUUUUGGGAUUGCAAUUGUUUUUGGUUUCUCUUGGUAUGGUUGUUUCGUUUCAAGCAUCAAAGGUAUCUGGACUGGAAUGCUAAGUGGAAUUCUUGAUCAAACUUUACUAUUGGAAAUCAUGAUAGUCAGAUGUGAUUGGGAAAAACAAUGCGUAGCCAUGCCAUCUUUUUAUUCAUUUUUUAAAAAAACUUUUAAUGCUAAAAGCUUUAUUUCUUUAUUUCUUUUGUUUAUUCUUUUUUUUUUUAUUCUCAAAUAACUCUUUAAAAUUUUCUAAAAUUCUAAAGUUCCAAGUUUAUUUAUCUACUCAUUUAUCUAUCAAUUUUUUUUUUAAAAAAAUAUCAUUUUCAAAAUAAUCUUGUAAAAUCUUAUUUUAAAGUUAGUCUACAAAACUCCAAUUUUUUAAAUUUAAUUCUUCAAAAUUCAAUUCUCUAAAUAAUUUUCUAAAAUUUUAAUUUUAAAUUUAAUUUUCCAAGAUUUAAAUUUUUAAAUUUAAUUUUUCAAAAAUUCCACAAUUCCAAAUUUAAUUUUUAAAAUGUCACCUUCAAAUAAAUUUUCGAAACUCCAAUUCCUUUCAAAUCAAAUUUUCAAAAAUUCAAUUCUCAAAUAAUCCUUCAAAAUUCUUUUUUCUUAAAUUUAAUUUUCAAAUAAUUUUUCGAAAUUCCGAUCCUCAAAUUUUUUUUUUUAAACUCCCAUUUUUAAAUAGUUCUUCAAAAUUCCAAUUUCCAAUUUCAAAAAUUUCAAUUUUCACAUUUAUUUAUUUAAUCAUUAUUAUUUUCGUUACUAUUAUUAUUCUAUUUUUAAAAAAAUUCUAUCUUUAAAUAAUUCUUCAAAAUUCCAAUUUCCCAUCUAAUUUCCAAAAUUCCAAUUUUACAUUUAAUUAAUUAAUUAUUAUUAUUUUAUUUAUUUAUUCAUUUAUUUUUAAAAUUCCAUCUUUAAAUAAUUCUUCAANNNNNNNNNNNNNNNNNNNNNNNNNNNNNNNNNNNNNNNNNNNNNNNNNNNNNNNNNNNNNNNNNNNNNNNNNNNNNNNNNNNNNNNNNNNNNNNNNNNNUUCUUCAAAAUUCCGAUUUCCAAUUUCAAAAAUUUUAAUUUUCACAUUUAUUUAUUUAAUCAUUAUUAUUUUCGUUAUUAUCAUUAUUCUAUUCUAUUCUAUUCUAUUUAUUUAUUUUUAAAAUUUUAAUUUUUAAAUAAUUUUCAAAAUUCUAAUUUCUUUCAAAAUUUAAUUUUCAACAUUUUAAUUCUUAAAUUUAAUUUUCAAAAUUCCAAUUGUCAAAUAAUUUUCAAAAUUCCAAUUAUUAAAUUUAAUUUUCAAAACUCCAAGUUUCGAAACUUCAAUUUUCAAAUAAAUUUCAAAACUCCAAUUUUUUUUUCAAAUAGUUUUAAUUCCACUCCAUUUUUCAAAUAUUUUUUAAAAUUCACAAAUUUUCUUCAAAUUUCAAAUAAUCUUUCGUUUUUCUUAAUUUUUUAAUAAACAUGAAUGAAUUUUUCAUUAUUCUAAAAUAAUGGAAUUUGUUAUAUUAAUUCAUGCAAAAUAAAUUGGGCUUUGGUGGGGGCCCAACAUAUAUAUGAUUUUUCUCUUUUGAUUGUCAAUUGUUAUGUUUAAUGAAUAUUGCUCAAUCUUUGUCUUACUAUUUGAUAUGCAUGUGAUAAUUUUAUAUUUGAGCUAACCUUAUUUCUAUGAUAGCGCACUAUUACUUGUUGCUAAGGUAUGGUUCUCAAUCCUACUUCAUUUAUUUAUUCAUUAUCAUGCUUAAUUCGUUUUAUUAUUUGAUCAUUUCAUUAGUAUCUAUUAAUUUUCUUAUAAAUUGUCACACUUGUUUCACCUUAUUUAAUAGAGACUCAUUUUUAGGGGAUUAGAGAGGUGCUACGAUCUUUACCGUACCUUCCCAAUAAGUAACCUGACCCUCGGACCUAGACUCAGUUUUUCGCAGACCUAUUUUUCUUUCAGGAGUCACAUUUAAGGUUUUUUCUUUCUUAUUUUAUUUUUUCAUUAAAAAAUAAAACAAAAAUAAGUGAGAACUCCAAGUUUUUUCUAAAAAAUUAUUUUUUUCACCAAAUAAAUAAAAAACGAGUUUUGUCAUUAAGUGGGAACGCAUCAAACAAAAAUACGGGGUCCACAAAAUGGCGACUCCACUAGGGAUAUUUAGAGGGUCAAACUUGAACUCAAGUUGAGGAAAAUGUGGUGUUUGAUUAAUCGAUUAGUGGAUACCCCCUCAUUGUGCCUUUAUUGUAUAUUUUCAUGUUUUAAGGCAUAUGAGUGUUGACAUGUUGAUUAUUUGGUAUAUAUAUUGCAUGUGCCUUAUUAUAUAUUGAUUCUUGUUAUUAUGUGCGUUUGUAUAUAUUUGCUUAUAUUUGUAUGUAUCUUUUUGUAUGGCUGCAUGCUACAUGAUUACCCUUUUUCUUUAUGUUGCAUGUUUGGUUAUUAUUGUUCAUUGGCUAUAUUGACAUGUUGAUUACAUCGAUUGAUUCUCUUACCUGCUUUUGCAUAGUGACUCUUCUUAUUGUAUGAUUAUCUUGCUUUCCUUGACAUGUAUAUUCUCAUUUUUGUAUAUAUUCAUCUUGGCAUCAUUGAUUCUCUUUGUUGUAUAUUGUUUUGUUUAUAUCUUGUUUAUCUUAUCUCUACCUAGCUUGUGUGUAGAUAUAAGUGAUAUACAUUUUCUUUGCAUGAUUGCUUGGUGCAUGACUGCUCUUCUUCUGUGUGAUGCAUGUGUUGUUUGUCUAUGUGGGACACACAUCUAUCCUCUUAUCUCCAAGUCCUUAGUCUCGAUUGACCUUGUUUUCCUUGAUCUCAUAUUUGAUAUGAGAUUUGUUACUUUGUUUGCUCUUCGAUCGAGCUAGUGUUUAGGAGUAUGGUCUAUCGACGGGCUAUAUCGAUGUUUGGGAGCAUUCUGGAGAAGGUGGACACAUUGAUGCUUAUUGGAGUCUGGUCUUUAAAGACCUAUGUAGCCCAAAGCUAAGUUUUAUGGAUAUUUGUGUGACUAGUAUAUUUCUUUUUCUAUUUUAGCUUAAUAGGAUUUUCGGAUGCACCCACACCACUCACUGUGCACUUUAGUUGACUACUGAGUGUUGAGAGUUGCGAAAGCUUUCACUAUAGGAAACCCUCUAGGAUGUCGAGGUAGUGCAUGUGUGGAGGUGAUGACCACCUUGCAUGGAAGUGCCCCGUCUCUUCGGAGGCGUGUAGAGGGUUGUGUACUACUGGAUGAUACGAUCGCUUCUGUUAGGGAUCCUUUAAAGUCCAACCCUAUUCUUUUUAGAGCCACCUUAACCUUGUAGUUUGAGCCUUAGAUCAUUCGAUCAUGAUUUCCUUUCCUACAGGUGGGUGUAUCUAAGGGUCUUUAGAACCUCUUUGAUUUGAUUGUCGGUGAAAGAAGACAUACUUUUCAAUUGGUAAAUGGACUUGCGAAAUUCAGGGCAAAUUGGUUUAAUAAAAAUAUUGGACCUUUAGAAAAUUAAAUUAUCAAAUUUACUCACCCUUCUCGAUAAUUUUUUUUCCUAGUGUACCCUUAAGGUAAUUCUCCCUUAAAUUAAAAUAUGAAAUGAUCUAAAAUCAAAAGAUGAUAAAAAUAGUACAUUCUGUACUACAUAUGCACCCAACCCAAAUUUGUAGUCUUAUGUUUGAUCGUCGACCUUCUAAUUGUACUAUACAUAAUAAAGGUGUACUGCAUGCAGACUGAAUUUAUCAGCAAACAAGCUUCACAUGCGUACUUUCAUACUACUAUAAGGAAAUUAGAAUUUUGUACACAAUAUUGUAACUUCUAUUUUAUCUUGUAUGCACAUACGCCUAUGUCAACAUCCUAAUUUCACAAAGCUCAUUUUACCACAAUGCAUGGUUGCCCUCAGUCAUCUCAUAAAUUUACUUUAACCAGACAAAAAAAGAAAAGAAAUUGAUUUACUUUUCAUCUAGUAGGUAUUCAUUCAUAUCCUCCACCGACAGAAACCUUUAAUAUAAUGUCCAGAACUUUAUGGUUGUCAUAAAGCUAAUGACAAUCAGAUUGAUGGUUACCAUGUUGCUGUUGAGUGAAUAAAUCUAAUGAACAUGGUACACUUUAAUCUUCUCACUAGUACUGCAUGAGACAUAUCACUUCUGCUUUGCAAUUCCAUUUUUCAGAUACUCAACAAACCCUCCUAUAUAGUGAUCCUGAUGGAGCUUCGGGUCGCCAAAUAUGGCAGCUGCCCCUUUUGCAUGGAUCCUCAGCUUCUCCCCUUCCUCGGACACCAUGGCAAGUCUCAAAGACUUGGUUAUGUCUUCCCUGCUAAAGGUUCCGUCUUCUCUUCUCUCUACUUCCACAGCCAAACCCUUCUCCACAAGCAGCCUUGCAUUCAAACCUUGGUCAAUAAUGAUGGGCAAUACAACAAGACAGUGCGCAAAUUGAAGGGUUUCUAUCACUGAACCCCACCCAGAAUGAAACAAUGAACCUCCGAUUGAUGGGUGUUCUAGAAUCUCCAUCUGUGGUGCCCAUCCCAUACACACCAUCCCCCUGCCGGAGGUCCGGUCACUGAAACCGGAAGGUAGGGCAUCGGCAUCUUCAAUAGCCCAGUUGGGUUUUCUGAGUGCCCACAGAAAUGGCAAUUCGGAUAGCUCUAGCCCAUAAGCUAUCUCAUGAACUUGGUCUUUUGUCAACUUACACUCACUCCCAAACCCUACAAACACAACUGACUUGGGCUUUUGUUCAUUAAGCCAUUUGAAGUUCUCCCCCCAUGACCCAUCAUUGAUUUGAAUUUCUCUCCCUUCUGGCUUUUCCGGCGGGAGCAAACCCACAGGAAUCACCGGCUUGCCCAUGAGAUUUCCAAGUAAAUUCAGGUAUUCACCUUCAUACUCCACACAACUACGCACAGCCACGGCUUGACAUGAAUUAAUGAUCUCGACAUACCUUGCAGCAUCAGUUGUUCCAGAAGCGUUAUCAGUAAAGAAGCCGGAAUAGACGGCUUUUGCCUCAUAGCCCUUAAAAGCCACUGAAGAUGGAAAACUGAUCCAUUCCGGUGGUGAUGUCAUACUCUCCGGAGAUGGCCUAAGUCUCCUUCGACCAUCUCCAACGAGGGAAUAAGCAGGCCCAAGGAAGGCAAGUGUGGAAGCCGAGAAAACAGAGAAGUACACGAGCGGUACCCCAUGUUCUCGAGCAAUUGAACUGACCCAAUGCGAGAAGAAAUCGAUGAUUAUCCAAUCUGGUGAAGUAUCAGCAACAUACUGCUUGAAGGGGUGUUGAAGGAGAUCAAGAGCAGCCUUCAAGUACUGAAUUUUUUCAAAGGGCAUAUCAACAGUAGCCUCAGCACCCUCAGGCAAGAUACUCCCAUUCUCCAUUACUGGAAAGGGAAGUUCCACGAACUUUAUCAGAGAUGACAAAUUUGGUGGAGGUUUAGGCAGUCUCUGGAUGUUCCUUGGAGUAGAUACCAGUGAAACUCGGAUUCCUGCUUUAGCUAUGGCGAUGGCAAGGUGAAAAAACGGAAUCAUGUGGCCGAAGGCCGACCAUGGAAGCAUGACUACAUGCAUUUUACCAGUCAUUUCCCACCGUGAAUGCACUCCGUAUCAGCCCAACACUGGAAUACAAACCAAACGUAUAGAGAAAAAACAAGUAAAGAGUAAAAUAAGAAAAAUUUUAGAAAAAAAAUGAGUAAGAAAAAAUUGAGAAAAAUAAAUAAAACUGUGUGAAAAAUACAAUUAAUUUCUUCAAAAAUUUUAAUCUUCAUUGAAGAAAAAUUAAUGAAAAUAUAUAUUUUAAUAUUUUUUAUUUAUUAUUAUUAUUAUUUUUUUCUUGAUAUCCAAUAGAUAUAUAUAUAAAAUAUUUUUUUAGCCUUUUUUUCUAGUUACUUUUCAUGAGUCAAAUAAAUUAGAAUAAAAAAAUUGACACGCAUGUGCAUUAUAAGAGAGAGAAGAGCAUUUGUCUUCACCUUUGAAUAAUUGACACAAGUCCCAACUCUUUACGCCACUAACGGGUCAUUAUGAGCUUUUUGGCUUGUUAGAUGACACACCACAUGAGUGUCUGACACGUGACACCUUCCAUUGGUUUGUUUCUAUGGAUCAAUCUUCAUUUUCUGUGUGCAUAUAUUUAGAUGCAUGCCUGUGACCACCUUUAGAUGGGAGGAGGGGGGGUGUUUGUCAUGUGCAUGGAGCAAAUUAAUCGGUGGGCUCGUUUCUAACUUUCAACGUGCUACCAAACUUGGUAGGAAAAAAUGGCAAUUACAUGUGGCUUUAAAAAAACUUCUAAAAAAUUGGUAGGAAAAAAAUAGCACCGUUAAGCCAUGCCCAUAAGUGAAAGGAUAAACAAAAUUACAAAUUGGACAAAUUGCAGAAAGAUGACCCGAACCCAUAACUUCCUACUAAAUCAAGUUCUAAUAUUAUAUUGAAUUAUCAAUUUUUUUAAAAGUUUAAAUUUGUAAUAUUUUGAGUUUAAUAUGUAUAUUAUACUUCUUUACAACCUCAAAAUUUUCUUCAAAAAUAAUUUUAAUGUAAAUUUAUAAAUCAUGUUUAUACUAAAUUCUCUUUUAAAAAUAAAAAUUUUCAGUAAAAUUGUGUUUUGAAUUGUAUUUUUUUAUAAAAUAAAGUAUUACUUUUUAAAUAAUGUUAUUUAAAUUAAAAAUACGAUAAAGGGCAUGGUACCUUAGCAUUCUCUUUUUCAUGAUUGGAUUGAAUAAUAAGUUGUUGGGUUAGAGUCCAGCAUACAUCAAUCUUUGAAUUUGAACAGUUGAUACAUGAAUUAAAUCUAAAUUAUUGAACAAAUAUGCAAAAGAGAAAAUAAAUCUUAAGUUCAAACAUAUGGGAUAAAAAAAAAUGAUUAAUUAGGUUAUAAAAAAAAAAAAAAAAAGACUUUGGUGUGGCUCGACGUUUUUCACGUGUGUCCCUGCUCGAUGAUGAAACUCAUUUUUUAUUUGGUGAAAAUUUGAUUUUUAGAAAAGACUUAGAGUUGCUAUUUAUUUUUGUUUUAUUUUUAAAAGGGAAAACAAAAUAAGGAAAAAAAAAAAAAACCCUAAGUGUGACUCCUAAAGCAAAAACAGGUUUGUGAAAAACCAAAGUCGGGUUCGGGAGUCAAGUUACCUAUUGGGAAGGUACGAUGGUGAGCCAUAACACCCUUUUAAACCCGUGUACAUACAAUCUCUACUAAACGAAUUAAGAGAAUUGUGACAAUUAAUUAAUUAAUUAGGAAUACCAAGAAAAAUAAUCAUGUAAAUGAGUAUGUACAAGUCAUGAUGAAAAUCAAUAUACACAAAAAUAAUUAUCAAAUCUAAUUACAAGAAUACACAAAAUAAUUAACAAGAGAAUUAUACAAAAUGAUUUAUUGAACUAAAUAAAAAAAAGAUAUUAAAAAAAAUUUCAAGAAAUUUCAAAGUAUUUUAUUAAAAAUGAUUUUGAAUUAAUGAUUUCAAUUUAUUUAUUUACAAAAAAAGGUCAAUUUCAAAAAAAGUUAUUUACAUUAUUUUAUUACAAUAUUUUUUUUUUAAAUUUCAAUUUAGCAAUAAAAAUUAUUUUUAUUUGAAUCUUAAAAAAAAAUUCAAGAAAUUUCAAAGUAUUUUAUUAAAAAUGAUUUUGAAUUAAUGAUUUCAAUUUAUUUAUUUACAAAAAAAAUGUCAAUUUCAAAAAAAGUUAUUUACAUUAUUUUAUUACAAUAAUUUUUUUUAAAAUUUCAAUUUAGCAAUAAAAAUUAUUUUUAUUUGCUUUUACUAAAAAUGAAUGAAUUUUUAUGAAUUAUUUAAAAAAGAAAGAAAAUAUAUAAUUUUAUCUACAAAAGUUGUAUCAAUUUAAUUCUAUUUGCAAGCAAAUUAAUUUUUGUUAUUUUUUAUAGAAAACAGACUUUUACAAUUUUAUUUACAAAAAAUAUCAAAAUUCAAUCCAAUUUUAUUAACACCAAAAAAAAAAUUCAAAAAAUUAAUUUUUACAAAAUUAAUUAAAAAAAAUUUUGAAUCCAUUUUACUGUUUGAUUUUAAAAAGAUUUGUUAGAAAAUAAUUAUCUAUGAUUUUAUAAAAAGAUAUUUCAAAUUUAUUACUUACCCUUAAAGAUUUGGAAUUUGUGUAAAAAAAGUUUAUCCAAUUUUAUUAAAAAUAAAUAAAUAAGAUUUUUUAUAUUAUAUUUACAAAAACAUUCCAAUUUUGUUCUCCAAUUUGAUUUUUGCUUUCUUUUCCAAGAAUUUAUUUGCUUUAAAAAAGAAAAAAGAAAAAAAAUGGAAAUCUACAUUUCGACAAUUUUAUCUAAAAGAAAAUUUUUAUUUUACUUGUAUAAAAAAGAUUCAUGAAGAAUUAAAAUAAAAUAAAUAGAUAAAUAAAAUAAAAUAAAAUAAAAAGAAUAAAAAUAUUUUUUUUACUUUAUUUCUAUAUAUAUAAAAAAAGAAGAAUUUUGUCUUAACUACAAGAUGAUUUUGCUUACUUUAUUUAAAUAAAUAAACUAAAAUGAAUAAAUUAAUCAAUUACAAUUUUUUUUUAAAUGAAUUUAACUAAAGGAAUUUUUCCUUAAAAAGGGAUUUUGCACAAAUUUACAUAAAGAAGAAAUUUGAUUAGAAAGAUUUCUUCAUAGACUUCCCUAGUUCACACCUAUCCUAACACCUCAAAAAUUGAUCCCUUAAAUGAGACAUUCUUUAAAAAUUGGCAGGAAAGAGUUUUCUCUGCAAUUGAUAUAGUAAACUUAGGACACAUUUUGAUUGACCCAAAACCAAAAGAUGGUUGUCAUUUCUUACCAACUUGGGAAACUAGAAAUAAAUAAGUUAGGGAUACUAUUCUAAGUACCCUUUCUAAUGAACUUUUUGAUAUUUAUUGUCAAUUUAAAGUUGCAAAAGAAAUUUGGGAUGCAAUAAAUAAAAAAUAUAUUUUGGAAGAUGCAGGAACUCAUAAAUAUGUCAUAGGGAAUUUUAGAAAUUUCCAAAUGACCGAGGAUAGAGAUGUAUCAUCUCAAAUCCAUGACUAUCACUUGUUAUUAAUGACUUAGUUAUUGAAGACAUUAACUUUUAGAGACUUGGAAAAAUUAGAAAAAUAACAUGAAACAUAAAAGGAAACAAAUGUCCUUAGAGAGUGUCAUAAUCCAUAUUAGGAUUGAUGAACAAAACCGAAAUAGAGAUAAUGUUAAGAAAGCUAACGAAUUGUCUUCUAAGACUAAUGUAGUAGAAGAAAAACCUAAACCCAAAAACAAUAGGUCCAGGAAACAAAACUUUAGGACCAACCCCAAUGUAUCAAACAAGGUCCAAAACUCAACUAUUAAAAAAUGGGGUAAUUGCUUUGUUUGUGGCAAGUCUGGACACCAUGCAGUUCAAUGUCGCCAUAGGAAGAGAAUUGAGAAGUCCAAUUCAAAGGCAAAUCUAACAGAGGUAGAGGUGAUCACAGCAGUAAUUUCCUCUGAGGUGAGCAUGGUCACCAAUAUGAAGAACUGGGUGGUAGACUCUAAGGCUACCAUACACAUCUAUGGGAAUAGAAGUGCAUUUACUUCCUAUACCAUUGUAAAGGAAGGAGAUGAACAAGUGUUCAUGGGUGAUUCUAGAUCUACUCCAGUGAUUGACAAAGGGAAAGUUCUUCUCAAGCUAACCUCUGGAAAAGUGUUUGCCCUCAGUGAUGUUCUUCAUGUGUCAGAUAUCCGUUGGAACUUGGUGUCAGUAUCUCUACUUGGAAAAGCAGGAGUGAGGAUCUUGUUUGACUAUGAUAAAAUAGUUUUAACCAAGAAUGACGCAUUUGUGGGAAAGGGCUAUUAUGUUUAUUAUAUUAUCAAUAAUAAUGCAUCUUCUUCCGUUGCAUGCUUACAUAGUUGAUUCUUGUGAUAUUUAGCAUGGUAGACUAGGACAUGUGAACUUUUCAUAUAUGAAGAAAAUUGUUGAAUUAAGUUUAAUCCCUAAAUUGUCCUUAGAAAACCAUGGAAAAUGUGAAUCUUGUGUAAAAUCUAAAACCAUAAAGAAAUCUUGCAAAUUAGUUGAAAGAGAAUCAGAUCUACUAAGUUUAAUACACAAUGACUUAGGAGACCUAAAAAAUACAAUAACUAGAGGUGGUAAAUGAUUCUACAUAACUUUCAUAGAUGACUACUCAAGGUAUACAAUGGUAUAUCUUUUGAGAAACAAAAAUGAAGCAAAAGAUGCUUUCAUGAAAUACAAAAAUGAAAUGGAAAAUCAACUAAGUAAGAAAAUUAAAAGGCUUAGAAUUAAUAGGGGAGGAAAGUAUGAGUCCAACCCCUUUAAUUCUUUUUUUGAAGAUCAUGGGAUCAUUCACGAAACUACUCUUCUUUAUUCCCCUAAGUCUAAUGGAGUAGCAGAAAGGAAAAAUAGGACCUUAAAAGAAAUUAUAAAUGCAAUGUUGGUAAGUUCAAGAGCACUCUUGAACUUAUGGGGGAAAGUUAUCUUAUCUACAUGUCAUAUUCAAAAUAGAAUACCUUACAAGAAAACUGGUAAAACUCCUUAUGAGUUGUGGAAGGGUUAUGCACCUAAUAUAACAUACCUGAAAGUGUGGGGGUGUUUAGCUAAAGUUUUUCUCCUUGAACCUAAAAAACGAAAACCAGGUCCUAAAACCUUCGAUGCAAUGUUCAUUGGUUAUACUAAGAAUAAUGCGACAUAUAGGUUUCUUGUUACUAAGUCAGAAAAUAGUCUUGUAGAUGUCAAUACUAUACUAGAAACAAAGAAUGCAGAUUUCUUUGAAAACAUCUUUCCUAUGAAACUAAAUGGUGAACAACAAGUUCGGAAAACAAGUAGAGAUAAGUCUAUUGAACCUUUUGAAUUUGAACCUAAGAGUAAAAGAGAUAGGAAAGAAACAAACCUUGGAGAUGGUUUCUACACCUUCCUAAUAGAUGAAGACCCUAGAUCCUACAAAGAAGCUAUAACUUCUCCUGAUACACCAUUCUGGAAGAAGGCCAUUAACAAUGAAAUCGAAUCAAUCAUGUAUAACCAUACAUGAGAGUUAGUAGAUUUACCUCAUGGUGCAAAGACUAUUAGUUGUAAAUAGAUCUUUAAAAGAAAGUUAAAACAAGAUGGGUCCAUAGAGAAGUAUAAAGUUCGUUUAGUUGCCAAAGGAUUUAAACAAAUGAAUGAUGUAGACUACUUUGACACUUUUACCCCUAUGACUAGAAUAGCAUCAAUUAGAGUAUUGAUCGCUCUAGCUUCCAUUCAUAAUUUGGUGAUAUACCAAAUGGAUGUCAAGACUGCAUUCUUGAAUGGGGAUUUGGAAGAGGAAAUUUAUAUGAAACAACCUGAAGGUUGUGUAGUUCCAGGAAAGGAAAAAAAAGUGUGGAAGUUGGUUAAAUCACUAUAUGGGUUAAAACAAACUCCCAAACAGUGGCACAACAAGUUUAAUCAUGUGUUAGUAACUAAUGGAUAUUCUAGUAAUGAUGUUGAUAAGUGUAUCUACAACAAGUAUGAGGAUUACACAUGUGUAGUCAUUUACCUUUAUGUUGAUGACAUGCUAAUCUUCGGAACUAGCCUAGAGGUUGUGUGUGAGACCAAUAAAUUCCUAAGUUCUAAGUUUGAUAUGAAAGGCCUAAAGGAGGCAGAUGUGAUUCUAGGAAUUAAAAUAACUAGAACACCUAAUGGGCUUAAACUUUAUCAAGAGCACUAUGUUGAAAAUAUCCUAAGGAAGUUUAAACACUUUGAUUGUAAACCAGUAUCAACUCCUUAUGAUCCCAGCUCACAGCUAAAGAAAAAUAGAGAAUAUAGUGUUGCCCAAAUAGAGUAUGCUCAUAUCAUAGGAAACUUAAUGUACUUAAUGAACUGUACCAGACCUGACAUUACUUAAGCAGUAGGUAAAUUGAGUCGAUACACCCAAAGUACUAAUCAGGACCAUUGGACUGUUGUUUGUAGAGUCCUUGAGUAUUUGAGAGACAUCAUUAACUAUGGUUUGUGCUUUAGUGGAUUUCCAAGUGUCCUUGAAGGUUUUAGUGAUGCAAAUUGGAUUUCAGAUUCAGAUGAGAUGAAAUCCACUAGUGGAUAUGUUUUAAUCCUUGGUGGAAGUGCAGUUUCUUGGAAGUUUGCAAAGCAAACUUGCACUACUCGGUCUACUAUGGAGGUUGAGUUUAUUGCCUUAGGAAAAACAAGUUUUGAGGUUGAGUGACUUAGAAACAUCUUAACAAAUAUCCUUUUAUGGAUGAGACUAGCCUCGUCUGUGUCUAUAUGUUGUGAUAGCCAAGCUACAAUUGCUAAUGCUAAGAGUAAAAUAUUUAAUGGGAAGAACAUGCAUAUACGUCUAAGGCACAAUAUUGUGCAACAGUUGCUUGAAACACAGGUUAUAUCUCUAGAAUGAGUGAGGUCAAAGUUGAAUUUGGCCGAUCAUUUGACCAAACCACUAAAUAAGAAACUAGUGAAAUAAACAUCGACAGUGAUGAGGCAAAUGCCUAUUACAGAAGUCAAGAGUGGUGGUAAUCCAAUCUAUUAGAAUGGAAAUUCUAUGAAGUAGGUUCAUAUGGGUAAUAACAAAUCACUUGUUGACUUGAGGUGCUCUAUCAACUCUAAUUGUAUGAGAGUUUAUCCCUAUGGUGUAGAUAGAGCAUAUUCUGCAUUGAUUAAGGUUGAGUGUUUACUCUUAAUGAAUACCAUAUUCCUUAUGGAUGGUACGUUUAAUGUAGAACAUACUUGAUGGAUUCAUCUAUAUGAGAGUGGAGGUGGGGUCGCUUCCUAUGAGAACUUAGGCAGGUUCUCUAGAGCUCUCAUGAACAUCCAGGCAAGGCGCAUGGUCUAUUUGUGCCAACCCGUUUUAUACAGCUCGUAGUGUAGUUGAGAAAACAAAUGUGGAUAAAAGUCCCUUGAGUUACAUCAAGAAACACUGGUUCAUAGAAAUUUAUUUUCACCUUUGUGAUUCAAUCCUUAUUUGUCCUGAGACUGGUUCAUAGCCUUUGUGCACCAGUACUAAUGCAUUAGAUUUUUUUUCCUUCAAAAAAAAUUACAUUUACACUUAGUGAGGGAUUGUAGGAAGAGUGUAAAUAAUUUUUUAUUUUAUUUUAUUCUAUUAGUCUUAUAUUUUUGGAAAGAAUCCUAUUGAGAAUUAUUUUUAUUUUAUUUUAUUAGUCUUAUAUUUUUUGGAAGAGUCCUAUUGGGAUUGUGCUAGUGGAGUCCCAUUCCAUUUAUAAGUAGAAUCCCCUUCCACUUUGAGUCAUAUUCUAAUUACAAGUAGAGUCCCAUUGAGACUGUGUUAGUGACCUAUAAAAGCAGACCACCCCUCACUCUUUAUAUACGAAUACCAAAUUUUCAAAGAAUUUUUCAAAGAGUCUUUUCAUACAUCUAUCUGGAGGAAUUUUUUCAAAACCCGAGUUGUACACAUCUCGCUUACAGAGUGCACCCAAAACGAGAUCUGGUUGUUGAAUCCUGGAGGUAGACCACUGGUACCCUAGUGCACCAAGUUCGUUUUCGAGGAGAGUGGAUAUAUUUCAAGGACAGUAUUUGUCACACCUCGAUCGAUAAGUUUUUCUUCUUAUUAAUUAUGUUCUUUAUUUGUGUCUUUCGGGUUAGUCAUUUGUUUCCAUACCCUUAAAUCCAACAUGCAUGUGAGCAUCACUUCAGAUGCAUUUUGUCCAUAGAAACCAGCAUAAACACUAUAUGCUUCAUAUCCUCGGACAACCUCUAAAUAUUAAAAAUUGAUCCACUCUGAUGGUGACAUCAAACUCUCCGACGAUGGUUGAAGCCUCUUUCUACCUUCAUUAGCUAGGUAUUCUUGGGAAAUCUCUAUAAAAGAGUACACAAAAUGAAAUGACAUAAAGGAAAUGUUUAGAAUCGAGUUCAUAAUAAUAAGAAUCACUUUAAUUAAUAUUUCUAUAAAUCAAGGAGAUGCAUAUAAUGGCGGGACAUUUAUAAUGAGAUGCAUAGAAUUAUACAAAAGACACACAAAAUGGGGUGCAUAAUGAUAAGAAUUCACUCUAUCCAAUAUUUUUGUAAAUUAAAACUAGUUAGAUAUUAAUAAUAUUUUAUUCUUUUAAUUGAAGAAAUAAUAUUUUUUUUUCCUUAUUAUUCAUUUUUUUUUGUAUAAUUCAUAAUAUAUUUUUCUAUAAAUUUUUGUAAAGAAAUAAUAGAACUCAAUGUUUUUAUUGUCAAAAUUAUCAAACUCUUAAUGGAACUAGAGUUAGGGGAAGAGGCUUGAAGUUAAACCUUCUCUUUCUAAAAAACCACGUAUUCCUUUUUUUUUUUUAAAAAAAAAAAAUCCAAGCCUUCCAUAAGUUUUUUAGUUUGAUGUUAAUCAAAAUAAACACAACAAAUUUCCUAGUGUGGCAAAAUAAAAUCAUCUUCUUGGUUUGUGAUAUUAGUUUUCUCCAUCAUAUCUUAAGUGGAGAACCUAUUGAAAAAAUUAAGGAUGAUGAGAGAAAUAAAAGUUUUAUCCUAAUUUGAUUUCAAUCAAGCUAAACAUCACAAAUUUCCUAUUAUGUUGAAAUCAAAUCAUCAUCUUAGUCCAUCACAUGAGUGUUCUCCGUCAUUUCUUAAAUAGAGAAAAACUUGUUGAUGAAGAAAUUAAGAAUGAUAAGGGAAGCGAAAUUCAUAUAUUGCAAUACUAGUUAUGAAUUUACAAUGACGAAUUUGUCACUUCAUGAAUUCUUGAAACUUUGAAAGAAGACGUUUUUUUAACAUGAAAUGUAAGCAACGAGACCAAGCUAUGAAACAAUAGGAUGUUUGCCACUCCUAUUUAUGGGCUUGAGCGAUCUGAGUUCUCAUUUCUUUGGGCAUACUUAGAAAAUGAAUAUGAUUGAUUUGUUGAAGAUGUUAUGCUCUAUUGUCCAAUUUCAAUGGUUGAACCUCCUAUGAUGCAUUUCUUAAUUCAAGAUCUUACUAAUUGAAAUCAAAGGAUUACCAAUUCAAAGUGAUGAAUUGUUUCCAUAAUUAUAAUUUCAUUUUAUAUUGGACUAGAUUGAAAUAGGAUUAUAUACUCAUUAUGAGAAGAAGUGAUUCGAGCUUAUCUUAGAUAAAUAACUAUGUUUACAUAUAAAUCCCUACCUAGUUGCAUUCUAUUUAGGAUUAAGAGUAGACGUGGCAUAGGGGUGAUGUUAAUGAGAUGGGCAGCACAGGUGGAAAUUCUAGCACAGCUAUCAGUUGGGGGCUCAUUGUUCCACUCUGGGUGGGGUCCAGCCAUAGAAACAUUUCAAUUUGGGUAUCGUCUCAUUGUAUUACCAUUCAUAAUCGAUCAAAGCUUUAAUGCAAGACUUUUUGUGGGGAAGAGUAUGUCUGCGGAAGUAGAGAGAAGUGAAGAUGGGUCAUCUAGCGGAGAGGACGAAGCAAUGAUAAAAGGAUAUCAAGUGAUUAAAUAAUCUAAAAUUAAAAGAUGAUAAAAGAGUACAAUAUUCCGUACUACAUAUGCACCCAACCCAAUAUUAUCAGCAAUCAAGAUUCACAUGCGUGCUUUCAUACUAUUGUAAUGAAAUUAGAAUUUUGUAAACAACAUUGGAACUUCUCAAAAAUUGGCAGACAUAUCACUUCUGCUUUGCAAACCCAGUUUUCAGAUACUUAACAAACCCUCCUAUAUAGUGAUCCUGAUGGAGCUUCGGGUCGCCAAAAAUGGCAGCUGCCUCUCUUGCAUGGAUCCUCAGCUUCUCUCCUUCCUCGGACACCGUGGCAAGUCUCAAAGACUUGGCUAUGUCUUCCCUGCUAAAUGAUCCGUCUUCUCUUCUCUCUACUUCCACAGCCAAACCCUUCUCCACAAGCAGCCUUGCAUUCAAACCUUGAUCAAUAAUGAUGGGCAAUACAAUAAGACAGUGGCCAAAUUGAAGGGUUUCUAUCACUGAACCCCACCCAGAAUGAAACAAUGAACCUCCGAUUGAUGGGUGUGCCAGAAUCUCCAUCUGUGGCGCCCAUCCCAUACACACCAUCCCCCUGCCGGAGGUCCGGCCACUGAAACCGGAAGGUAGGGCAUCGGCAUCUUCAAUAGCCCAGUCGGGUUUUCUGAGUGCCCACAGAAAUGGCAAUUCGGAUGGCUCUAGCCCAUAAGCUAUCUCAUGAACUUGGUCUUUUGUCAACUUACACUCACUCCCAAACCCUACAAACACAACUGAC